AAAAAAACGGGGCUGGGUGCAGUGGCUCAGGCCUAUAAUCCUAGCACUUUGGGAGGCCGAGGUGGGUGGAUCGCCUGAGGUCAGGAGUUCGAGACCAGCCUGUCCAACAUAGCCAAACCCUGUCUCUACUAAAACUACAACAUUAGCUGGGCGUGGUGGUGGUGGGUGCCUGUAAUCUCCAGCUCAGGCAGGAGAAUCGCUUGAACCCUGGGGGCGGAGGUUGUGGUGAGCGGAGAUCAUGGCCAUUGCACUUCAGCCUGGGCGUAAGAGCAAAACUCUGUCUCAGGAAGAAAACAACAACCACAACAAAAAAUGCUACUUAUAUUAAUUUUGCCUCUGUUUGUUUGUUUGUUUCUCUCUCUCUCUCUUUCUUCUUAUUAUUUUUGGAGACAGAGCCUCACUCUGUCGCCCAGGCUGGAGUGCAGUGGUGCAAUCUUGGCUCACUGCAACCUCUGUCUCCCAUGUUCAAGCAAUUUUCAUGCCUCAGCCUCCCCAGUAUCUGGGAUUACAGGGUCACACCACUGUGCCCGGCUAAUUUUUGUAUUUUUUGUAGAGACAGGGUUUUCACCAUCAGGCCGGUCUUGAACUCCUGACCUCAACUGAUCACCCGCCUCAGCCUCCUAAAGUGCUAAGAUAGCCACGGUGCCUGGUUAGAAUAUAUUUUUUAAAUGUGCCUUAAAAUUUCUCAAUACAAAAAGGUUCAAUGAACAUUAUCUAGGAAAUAAAGAAUUAAAAAAAAUAAGAUUACUAGGUAGAAAAUAAACAUUUAAAUUCAUAGAAAGGGAUUGGAAGAUUAUAUACCAAACUUUUUUUUUCUUUUGAGACAAGGGCUCACUCUGUCGCCCAGGCUGGAUUGCAGUGGCACAAUCACAGCUAUAUAUGUGUAUAUAAUUUUCUAAGUAAAGAAAGUCCUGAAAUUUUAGGUUAAAAGGUGUAUUAGGGCCGGGCGCGGUGGCUCAUGCCUGUAAUUGCAGCAUUUUGGGAGGCUGAGGCGGGCAGGUCACUUGAGGUCAGGGGUUCGAGAUCAGCCUGGCCAACAUGAUGAAACCCCAUUUGUACUAAAAAUACAAAAAUUAGCCAGGCAUAGUGGCAGGUGCCUGUAAUCCCAGCUACUCGGGACGCUGAGGCAGGAGAAUCAUUUGAACCUGGGAGAUGGAGGUUGCAGUGAGCUGUGAUGGCACCACUGUGCUCUAGCCCGGGCAACAGAGCAAGACUGUCUCAAAAAAAAAAAAAAAAAAAAAAAAAAGGUAUAUUAGUCAGGGUUCUCCAGAGAAACAGAACCAACAGGAUAUUAUAAGAGAGAUUUAUUAUAGGAAUUGAUCGUUUCUCGGCCUUGUGGCUAAGAUCAAGUGUAGAUUUAUUAUGGGAAUUGGCUCAUGCAGUUAUGGAGGCCAAGAAGUCCCAGGAUCUGCCAUCUGCAAGCUGAAAAACCAGGAAAGCUGGUGGUAUAAUUCAGUCUGAAUCUGAAGACUGAGGACCAGAGGCACAAUGAUGUAAGUCCCAGUCUAAGCCCAAAAGCAAGAGCUAGGAGCACUGACCUCCAAGGGCAAGAGAAAAUGGAUGUCAGCCCAGAAAGAGCAGAUUCGCCCCUCUUCCACCUUUUGUCCACUCAACAGUGGAUGAUACCCACUGACAGGGAGGAUCUUUUUCUAAUUUUUUUUUUUUUUUCUGAGACAGAGUCUCACUCUGUCACCCAGGCUGGAGUGCAA
rnacentral:lncRNA from 1 species